AAGUCGUAACAAGGUAACCGUAGGUGAACCUGCGGUUGGAUCAUUAGUGGUUUUUACGUAGCGCUGUUGUAGUGUUUCUGUGGUGUUUGGGGUUGGUCUUUGCGUUUGUUGUUGGUUGUUUGUCUGUUUUUGUGCAUUGCCUUGUGCGUGCCUGGCAGUACAAACGAUCGACGGCAACACUCGGACCAGACCCAAGCCCUUGCAGACAAUAGACGUCUUUGCUUGCUUUGAUGAAACCAAAUCAAAAACAACUUUUGACAACGGAUCUCUUGGCUCUC
rnacentral:misc_RNA from 1 species